GACGAACGCUGGCGGCGUGCUUAACACAUGCAAGUCGAACGGAAAGGCCCUGCUUUUGUGGGGUGCUCGAGUGGCGAACGGGUGAGUAACACGUGAGUAACCUGCCCUUGACUUUGGGAUAACUUCAGGAAACUGGGGCUAAUACCGGAUAGGAGCUCCUGCUGCAUGGUGGGGGUCGGAAAGUUUCGGCGGUUGGGGAUGGACUCGCGGCCUAUCAGCUUGUUGGUGGGGUAGUGGCUUACCAAGGCUUUGACGGGUAGCCGGCCUGAGAGGGUGACCGGCCACAUUGGGACUGAGAUACGGCCCAGACUCCUACGGGAGGCAGCAGUGGGGAAUAUUGCACAAUGGGCGGAAGCCUGAUGCAGCAACGCCGCGUGCGGGAUGACGGCCUUCGGGUUGUAAACCGCUUUCGCCUGUGACGAAGCGUGAGUGACGGUAAUGGGUAAAGAAGCACCGGCUAACUACGUG
rnacentral:rRNA from 1 species